CAGAGGGUGCGAGCGUUAAUCGGAAUUACUGGGCGUAAAGCGUGCGUAGACGGCUGUUUAAGUCGGGUGUGAAAGCCCCGGGCUCAACCUGGGAAUUGCAUUCGAGACUGAAUAGCUAGGGUACGGUAGAGGGAAGCGGAAUUUCCGGUGUAGCGGUGAAAUGCGUAGAUAUCGGAAGGAACAUCAGUGGCGAAAGCGGCUUCCUGGACCAGUACCGACGUUCAGGCACGAAAGCGUGGGGAGCAAACAGGAUUAGAUACCCUGGUAGUCCACGCCAUAAACGAUGAGGACUAGACGUUGGAGGGGUAAGCCUUUCAGUGUCGUAGCUAACGCGCUAAGUCCUCCGCCUGGGGAGUACGGCCGCAAGGUUG
rnacentral:rRNA from 1 species